GACAGAGGUGCCAAGCGUUAGGCGGAAUCACUGGGCUUAAAGCGUGUGUAGGCGGAAUUGUAAGUACCUUGUGAAAUCCCACGGCUCAACCGUGGAACUGCUCGGUAUACUGCUUUUCUUGAGCCACUUAGGGGCUGUCGGAACAAACGGUGGAGCGGUGAAAUGCGUAGAUAUGUGGAGGAACACCUGUGGCGAAGGCGCCUUGCUGGCCAAUUUCUGACGCUGGGGCGCGAAAGCGUGGGGAGCAAACAGG
rnacentral:rRNA from 1 species